rnacentral:piRNA from 1 species
UUGGAUUUUUGCUUCUGUCCAGAAAUGAG